CUGGGGCUUGGGGAGGACAGGCCUUGCGCCCGCCCCGCACUCCCCCCGCCCAGCCUCGAUGUGGGGGAGCGAGGGAAGACCCCCUCCCGCGCAGCUCCACCCCGCAGCCCCCGGCCCGCCCGGUUCCCGGGUGCGGCGGGACUCACGGCCUUCAGCUGCUCCAGCCGGUCCUUCAUCCUGGUGCCCAGGCGCCCGGAGGCAGCCUUUCCAUUCAACAGCCAUUCACUACCUGUGCCGGGCUCUGUGCUAGGAUCCAGCCCUCAACAGACUGAUUCAUUGCUAGGCGGCGCCAACAUCCCGUACACGAAGAACUCUAAGACAACGUGAUUCGUGCCAUAACAGGUGGGAGAGAGAGAGCAAUUAAUUCUGCCUGGAGGAAGGGCAUUCCAAGUAAAGGAAUGCUCACGGUCCGGGGGACUGCGUGCUGGAGCUGAAAGAGGGUGUUCCUCGUGGAAAUAACUGGAGUUUGCUGUGGGGCCUUGUUGACAGAGGAGGAAUGACUGAUUCGUCACCUGUGGAGCAGAGCUGUAAGAGGAGGAUGUGUGUAUUGGAAAGCUUAAGCUUUCCUAUCUGAUCCCCUAGGUGAGUAGUACCUGAUCCCACUUUCUGAAAAGUGGGCCGUUUCUUCGCACUGCCCCUCCGUCUUUCUCCCCUCCCCGGCCCCACACCUCCAUCCUCUCUUCCCUCUUCCCUAUUUAUCUUCCUUCUUGGGAACAGAUGACAUAUCCAGCAGAUAUGGAGUGGAGCUCAAUAAAUAGGACUGACAGGCCUAAGAUUCAAUCCUCAAAUCAGGGAAAGAAUCUGAGCUAUGCAUCUAGAUUAAAGGGCUGUAGGACUUCCCUGGUGGUGCAGUGGUUAAGAAUCCGCCUGCCAGUGCAGGGAACACGGGUUCGAGCCCUGGUCCGGGAAGACCCCAUAUGCCACGGAGUAGCUAAGCCCGUGCGCCACAACUACUGAGCCUGCGCUCUAGAGCCCUCGCGCUAUAACUACUUAAGACCACAACGAGGGAAGCAGCCACCGCAAUGAGAAGCCCAUGCACCACAACGAAGAGUAGCCCCCACCCACCGCAACUCGAGAAAGCCCGCGCGCAGCAACGAAGACACAACGCAGCCAAAAUUAAAUAAAUAAAUAUUUUUUAAAAGGGCUGUAAAUAUUUUCGUAAUUCUAACAGAACUUUGCCCUGUUCUGCAAUCUUAGCGCUUGCUCCGUGCCGGCUUCAUCCCCUCCCAUGAAGAUAUGGUCUGUAAUCCUCGCUCUAGUCCUGCACACUUCCUUCUACCGCAGGCGCUCGCUAGGUGAAUUAAUUUCCAGUCUUUGGUAAAGGGAAGGCUUCUGCGCCCCCUGGUGGUCAGAAAUGGAAACGGUAAGCUAAUCAGAAAUCGCAUUCCACCUCCCUUCCUUAACAAAUUUUUGUCAAUGGGGAUAGCUAAGUUUCCGCGCUUCAGGAAAAGAGAGUCUUCUGAGGAGACAGAUAUGUGAACAACUCUUUACAUUAGACGUCUGAAAAGGACCACAGGAAAUGAUCAAGGAUGGCCAUUCAGCCUCUGCCUGAAUGCAUUUUAAUUUUUUCAGUUUUUUCAAACACUCAAGCAUCUUCUCUGGUUGAACAGUUUCCAACUGUUGUUUAAAAGUGUUUUGUUAUAUGAAACAAAAAUUUUCCUUCCUAUAACUUCCACCACUGUUUCUUGCUCUUCGCCUUUGUCCAAACAUUUAAGAAAUUUAAUCUGUCCUUCACAAGACAGGCUUUCCAUGAAGGGACAGUAGCUGUGGAGCCACAGAACGAUUGCUGACACACAGCCAGGAGGACUGAGUUCUAGACACAGUUUCUGCCACAAAACAGCUAUCGCUUGACAUCGCACAAUCUAUCCUCUCAUCUGUGAGGCAGAAGUCUGGAUUGCAGCAGCUAGUUGUGUAAAAUAAACUGAAGAAAGUCAAGUUACUGAGGGACAAGGGACCUGGGUGAGGAGAGGCCAUGGGCUGGUGAGGAAGACUGACAUUGAGCCCAAGUGGACUGUAAGGUCUCCACGUAUGGACAGUGACUUAAGGUCCCAGGCUUAGUAGGAUCCCCCUCCUCUCUGAUGUAUUUUUAUUUUUCUGCUCUACCAGGGUGCUUGGUUUCCCACCAUGUCUAGUGUGUAGCUGUUUCCCCACUAAACAAAUAUAGCAAGAUUAAAUCAAGUGUUUGCAUUUUGGCUAUAGAGAAGUCAGCCAACACUUAAUUUCACCUUUACAAACAAACCAAGAAGAGGAUCCUGGGGUUUGGGGCUCCGCUUCCCUCUCUCUUUCCUCUAAGCCUGUUUCUCUCCCACUGGAAAAUAAACACUGAGGCUUACACCACCUUGACCCUCAGGGCCUGCUGAGGAACAGGUGAGACCACUUUCUGGCGACUGUACCUGGAGGCAGUGUCCCCAGGGUGUGGUGUUCAAUAGAAAGAGAUAAAGGAGCUAGAAAAUGGAAGGGGAAGGUCCUUUCUGUUCCCCACAGCAAUUCUUCCCCACUGCAGGGAGGAUGGAGAAUACACUUCCUGACUUGUAGUUUUCACCCCCUUACAGUUUGUAUUAGUUAUCUAUUGCCGCAUAACAAAUUGCCCUAAAACAGCUUGAAACGACAUUACCCUCUGGUUUCUGUGAUUCAGGAAUCCAGGUGCAGUUUCGCUGGGUGCCUCUGCCUCGCUGCAAUUAAGGUGUUGGCUGGAGGCUGCGUCUCAUCUCAUGGCUUGACUGGGAAAGGAUCUGCUUCCAAAGUCCCUCACGUGGUUGCCAGCAGGAUUCAGUUCUUCAAGGGCUGUACUUCACCCCGUGGGCCUCUGCAUAGGGCAGCUCACAACAUGGCAGCUGAAGUCCAUCAGCCCAAGCAGGUGAGAGGGAUAGAGAAAGAGAGAGAAAAGCCAAAGUGUUUUUGUAACCUAGUCUCGGCUGUGACAUCACUUUUGCCAUACUGUAUCGAUUAAAAGAGAAGCCCUAGGUUCAGCCCACACUCAAGGCCAGGAGAUUACACAAGGGGGGGAAGACCAAGAGCCAUCUCAGCCGCUGCCUAGAACACAAUUCAAAUCCCAAAUUCAUGCCACAGUUAUGCUCUUUCACCUUAGAGCUCUCUUCUCCCCUGUAUCUGAACUGGACAACUCUGACCCACUCUAGGAUUAAGUGUCCCUCAAACAUGCUUCCCUGACAGCCUGGACUUCAAGAUAGCCCUACCACACUGCAUAACCUGGUCUAGUUCCUGUACCUUCUAUGAGCUCCGCGAGGCCAGCAGCCUUGUCUCUCCUUUUCACUAAUGCGAACCCAGACCCCAGCCUCGGUCCCAAAACGUCCUUGUAGGCACUCAGUUAGGGUUUUUACCAAAUGAAUUAAGUGAAGCUUCUUGUCCUAUGGCUCCAUUAUGUCUUUCUUCUGAUUAAAAUUCAUCAGUGGCUCCUUAUUACAAGAUUAGGGAGUCCAGACUCUUCUUAGAAUGGCAUUCAAGCCCUUGCGCAGUCUGGCCCCAGCCCAAGGUACUGUCACUCCCUGACACACACAGCCCCACCUUCAGCUUCCUCAAACACCCACCUCUUCUCUGCAUCGAAUAUGCCCAGGAUUUCCCACCCAUCUCUGCCUGAUUUGUCCUUUUUCCAUUUCAUGUCUGACAAAUCCCUACUCCUCCUCCAAGACCGAGGCCUUCUCCAGUUCACGUCUCCCUGGCCCUCUGCCCUUCCGCCCCAAACAGUACUUGUUCAGAUCUAUUUUAAAAGCAGGGCUUCCCUGGUGGUGCAGUGGUUGAGAGUCCGCCUGCCGAUGCAGGGGACACGGGUUCGUGCCCGGGUCCGGGAAGAUCCCACAUGCCACGGAGUGGCUGGGCCCGUGAGCCAUGGCCGCUGAGCUCUGCGCGUCCGGAGCCUAUGCUCUGCAACAGGAGGG